UGGCUCCUGAAUCUUCAAUUGAUUACCUGAACAGAUGUCAAACUUAGAAAAAACUUGUGCACCCUGUAACUAGUCAAACAAAUCAUCAAUAUGGGGCAAAGGAUAACAGUUCUUCACUAAAACUUUGUUAAACUGGUAAUAAUAAAUGCACAUACACAUAGAACCAUCCUUUUUCUUCACAAACAAGACAUUAGCACCCCAAGUUGAUACACUGGCCGAAUAAAACCAUUAUCAAUCAAUUGCUGUAAUUGAUGUUUCAAAUCCUUCAACUUAGGUGAGGCCAUACGAUACCGAGGAAUAGAAAUGAGCUUAGUGAAAAGUAAUAGAUCAAUUCCAAAAUCAAUAUCUCUAUCGGGCGGCAUGCCCGGAAGAUCAGCUAGAAACAAGUCAGAAAAAUCCUGUAAUACUAGGACUGAAUCAACUGUAGGGGUAUCAAUACUGACAUCUCUCACAUAAGCUAGAUACGCAUCAUACCCCUUCUCAACCAUAUGCUUAUCCUUAAGGAAUGAAAUAACUCUACAGGAAGUAUGAUCUAAGGUACCCCUCCACUCUACUCGCGGUACAGCUGACAUAGCCAGCGUCAUGGUUUUGGAAUGACAAUAAAGAAUAGCAUAGUGGGGCAACAACCAGUCCAAAAUAACAUCAGAAUCUACCAUGUUGAACAAUAAUAAAUCAGCUCUAGUCUCUAAACCACUAAGAGCAAUCACACAUGAGCAAUAAAUGGUGUCCAUAAUAAGAGAAUGUCCCACAUGAGUAGAAACAAAAACAUGGGAACUCAAUGAAUCUUUAGAUACACCUAAAUGUGGGGCAAAAUAUCAUGACCCCUUUUCCAUAAUAGGUCAUGAUUGCUCCCGACACCAUUGUCAGGCUAGCCAAUGCGGAAAUUAAUUAAGUUCUCAUUUUACUUUUACCAAAAAUAAGUAUAACCGAUUCUAAAAUUAAUGUUAAAUCCAAAAGCAAUCAAUAAUGUAUCAAAAUGAUUAUACAACCCAAAAAUAAAUGUCUAUUAUUGUGUGUGUCAAGACCUGGUAUCACAGUAAUAGGCAACUAGUAAAAUGUACAAAUGAAUAACUCUAUCCUACUGUCGGAGAUAGAAUAGACAACAAAAGUAAGAAAAGACUCCAUCUGGCUAAUGAACAGCACAGGAAGGGAGCAGCUCACCGGGGAAGUCCCGGUCUAUCAAUCAGGGGCGCGCACCAGGCUGAUAGCCAGAUGUACCUUCCUUAGAUCAUGUACAAUUAAGUGCAGAAGUGAAGUAUGAGUAUAUAAACAAUAUGUACCAGUAAGUAUCCCGUCUAAUCUCAAAGAAGUUGAGACGAGAGGUAAGUAUGAGUAUAUAAACAAUAUGUACCCAGUAAGUAUCCCGUCUAAUCUCGAAGAAGUUGAGACGAGAGGUAAGUAUGAGUAUAUAAACAACAUGUACCUAGUAAGUAUCCCGUCUAAUCUCGAAGAAGUUGAGACAAGAAGUCGACUUGAUACUUACUAGGUCAAAUAAUAUUAUAAAGGACUAUGCUAAGCAUGGGGAUCACCAAUAAUCAACAGUUUAUAACAAGAAGUAAAAAUCAUGUUCUUAACAAUAUUUCAGUUAGCCAUUUGCAUUUCAAAAUACUUAGCAAAACAAUUCAUUUAUAAGAUUUCACAUAGAUAUCAUGCCCACAUUAUGCCGAGGUCGACAGACCGAUCCAACAGAAAAUAAACUGUACACUGCCAGAGGGUCGAAUGGCGCGAACCAUAGAUGCAUAUAUUUAUACCGAGGUGAUCGGCCCUGUCCGCAAAUAUAAAGAAAUAUCAAGAGUACACACGAAGGCUCAUUUAUAUUUAAAUAAAUUCAUACAAGGGUUAAACAAGUAUACAUGCUCACCUCUAUUCCUUCCCAAGUCUCUAGCAUAUCCUAAGUGAUCAUAUUAGCAAGAAAAUAUAGAGAUAGUUGCCAAAUAAGGCAUGAUGUGGGUCCUAGACUACCCGAACAAUUAACAUCAUAGUAGCUACGCACGGACUCUCGCCACCUAGUGCGUACGUAGCCCCCACAUUUAGUAGCAAUUACUCAAUUAUUAUAUCUAUGGGAUAAUUCCCUCUUACAAUAUUAGAAAGGAGACUCACCUCUCUCCAAAGUGCACUUCCAAAUACCAAGAACAAGUCCAAGCCCUUAAUUCGGAUUCGAACGAUCCCAAACUAGUUAAAUGAAGUAAAAACUAGUUAAUAUAGGUUCACAAGAUCAAAUUUUAUCUAUUUAAGCAAUUUCCCAACCAUUAACACAACUUUCCUAAGUUUCGACCCGGGCCCACGUGCUCGGAUUCUGAGAUUUUUCGAAGGAAGUUGUUCUCUACAACCUAAGGAUCAAAUAAUAUAUGAUUUUCAAUUCAUUUCAUAACUAAUUUCAAGGUUAAAUAUAAGUUUUAUUAAAACCCUAGGUUUUUGCUCUAACCCAAUGAUUUCACCUUAAACUAUUGUUUAAUCUACCUAAGGCAAUGAUAUAAAACUAGAAAAAGGUAGCACAUACUUAUCUCAAGAUGCUAGGUGAAGUCCUUCUCUCAAAAGCUCCCAAAUAUCCCAAUGGAGGAGUGGAAAUGUGAUAAAAUGACUUAGAACCCGUAUUAAAUGAACCUCACUGCCUAGCGAUUUCUGCAUCUGCAAUCAAGGAACCGCAUCUGCGAGAGAUUGGCCGUACCUACAAAAAUGGGCCAAAGAUUUGGGACCGUACCCACAGAAUCGCUUCUGCGGCUUGGGAGCCGCUUCUGUGGUUCCUGGCUUGGCUUGUCCUGGGCCACUUCUGCGAUGGCACGACCGCAUCUGUGGUCUCGCACCUGCUGUCGACCAACCGCAGGUGCGGUUAAGACAGAGGCAACAAGCUUCAGCUCUUUCUAAAAAUUUCCACUUCACUCAAGCCUCGUCCGAUUGACGCUCGGGACUCCCAGGCCCGGCCCAAACAUACCAACAACUCUAAAAACACGAGACAGACCUACUCGAAUCUUCGAAUCACCCGAAACAACUCUAAAUCAAGGAAUCACCCCCUAAAACCAAAUGAAUCAAACUUAUGAACUUCAAGUUCUUAAUUUUCGUCUAAUGGCCCAAAACGCCCUUAAACUACUCGGAUUGAUACCAAAUUAUACGAACAAGUCUUAAAUGAUAUUUCAGACUUGUACCGUGCUUCAGAACCAACAUACGAGCCCCAUACCCAUGAAAUCAAUCAUUACAUAGUUUUUUUAAAUGCUUAAAACUUUAAAUUAAUAAUUUCUAAUAAAAAUUCAUUACUCCGGCUAGGAACCUUGGAAUUCAAUUCGGGACAUACGCACAGGUCUCAUAUUUUUUCACAAACACUCUAGGAUCUUCAAAUUAUGAACAGGGGUCAGUUUUCUCAAAAUUUUGACCAAAGUCAAACUUAGUCUUUUUAGAGAACCAUAGGGAAUCAAAUGAGCAUAUUUCACUCAAAACCCUUCGAAUUCCCGAAGCAACCACCCCUUCAAGUCGUAAUUUAGCUAAAGCAAGAAUGGAAAGUUUUAUUUAGGGGUACAAAGUUCUAAAAGGCUAAACAACUAGGCGGGUAGUUACAUUCUCCACCUCUUAAACAGACGUUCAUCCUCAAAUGGACAUUGAAAAGUACCUGAUCUACUGAAUAAAGUGGGAUAUCUGCUCCGCAUGUCCUCAUCGGAUUCCCAGGUCGCCUCCUUGACGGGUCGGCCCCUCCACUAGACCUUUACCGCAAAAAUCCUCUUGGAUCUCAACUGACGGUCCUGUCUAUCAGUAAUGGAAAUUGGAUCCUCCUCAUAGCCCAAGCUUUCAUUCAACUGAAUAGUACUGAAGUCUAACACAUGGGACAAGUCGGAGUGAUACUUCCGAAGCAUUGAUACAUGGAAAACUGGAUGAACUCCCGAUAAUCUUGGGGGUAGGCAAGCUCAUAGGCAACCUCCCCAACUCUCCUCAACACCUCAAAGGGACCAAUAAACCUUGCGCUCAACUUGCCCUUCAUCUCGAACCUCAUAAUGCGUUUCAUUGGCGAGACUUUCAAGAGAACCUUCUCACCCACCAUAAUUGAUACAUCACAUGCCUUCUGAUUCGCGUAACUCUUCUGUUUGGACUGAGUUGUUCGAAGCCUCUCCUAAUACAAUUUCACCUUAUCCCAGGCAUCCUGUACCAAGUCUGCACUGAUAAGUUGGUAUUUUACCAACUUAUCUUAUCUUUAAACCUAUAUUUUUGCUAUGUUCGAGUGAUAAAAUUGUGUGUCUAAUGUCAUUUACUUCUAUUUUAUAGGUCGUAUGUGAUUUAGAACUAAUGGUGAAGAAACCAAGUGAAAACAAGUCAAAAAGGAGCUAAAAUGGACAAAGUGGAGCCUGCUACUGAUUUGCUCUUCGCGAACGCGAAGAAGCAGGAAAGCAAAACCUUCACGAAUGCAAAGUACCAAACGUGAACGCGAUGUAACAGAUACCAAAACUUCGCGAACGUGAAGGAACAAAUGCGAACGCGAUGUAUCAAAAAUCAAACCUUUACGUACACGAAUGACCAAAUGCGAACAUGAUGACUCAGACAAGCAAACCUUCACGAAUGCGUAGGUGUUACCGCGAAUGUGAUGAAGAAACUGGGCAGUUCUGGAAUUCCAUAUUUUUAUCCUAAUCCUUUUAAUACCCAAAUCAGCUCAUUUGUAAGAUAUCUUUGGCUUAAUUUCAGUUCAUAUACUAGAGAGAACAAGUUUUAAAGCUAGGAUUUUGCACAACACAUUUGGGUCUUGAAGAUUUGAAGCUUGUGGUUAAGAAUUUCUUAUCCAUUUAUGUUUAUUUAUCCAUUUCCAUUCUUUGUAUUGAAUAUUUAAGCGUGUAGUAUUUUAUUCAACAGUUGAAUCUUGUUUAUUGAAAUAUUCAAGUUUAAAGUAUGUAUUAAAUACCUUGUUGUGCUUAUGUAUUGAAUGAUUUUUAUCCUUUUAUGAAGUGAGUUAUUGUUACUUUAAUUAUUCUUGUUCUUUAAUGUUUCCAAAGGGAUUAACUAACCCGAGGACUCGCCGUUAGCUCUGAAUUAUUUUGAAAAAGAUAAUUUGGUGUUGGAAAAGAUUAAUUAACAAGAACUUGAGGCGUUAAUCCUUAUUUUACCUUGGGAUAGGAUUGAACUACUUGUAGCCAUAUUCCCGAUGUGAUUUAUAUAUUAAUUGUUUAAGGAAUAAUUCAAUUAGGAAGUCUUGUUAGUCUUCAGAAAAAGCUAACUAAGAAUUAUUAUCCGUGGCUAAUUAACAUAGACUCGCUUACAUUUGUAAAAUCAUGAAAUACAUUGGAUCGUUACUUGAGUGUAAUUACCGAUGCAUUCAUACUUGUAGCCAUUGAUCAAUUUACUUGCUUUCUAAGUUAGUUUAUAUUUUCCCAUAUAGAUAUAAAACACUUUUCAAAUGAAAUUCUUAUUUUCACACUUCCUUUUUCGCUACACCCGCAAGGUCUUAAAGUAGUUUUUCUAAUUAAAGGGCAAUCGGAACGAGAUUUGGUUAUUAUUUAUUCGGAGUCGCCACUUGGGAGAUUAAUGGUGUCCCAAGCCACCAAUUGAAUCCCGAACCCAGGAAAAUAUUGACUCCAUAUUACAGUCUGCGAACCAGAAAUCCGGAUAAGGACUUCUGUUAACCCGGGAGAAGGUGUUAGGCAUUUCCGGGUUACAUGGUUCUAGCACUGUCCCUUAACUGUUGUAUUUGAUUUUAUCUGAUUUGGUUACAUGAAGAUCCUAUGUGCCACUUUUACUUUUUAGCCGCUUUUAUUCAAUAUGUUUUUAUUUAAAAGAAAGUGAACGUCGUUUAAAGCGUGCCUUUGGAUCGCGUCAUAUGAAAUGGAUCCACAAUCCUAAGCACACUCUAUUCAACGUUUUGAGAUUUGAUUUGGGUCGCAUGAAAUGCACAACCGAGUUUAGAAAGGUAAUAUUAUUAGAAUCACGUCUAAAAGAGUCUAACACAUUAUUAUCUUUUGGGAGGGCCUUGAAAUUCGUCAAACAGUCCUUCCCGAUUUUCUAAAUAUUUUUAAACCUUUUUUGAGGGCCCCACAAUUUUGUAUUUCAUUGGGCGAGGCUCGUCUCGUCUCAUUUUAUUAUUUUUAAAAGGAUAAUCCUAAAAGUAACUAUAUUUCUAGUUUUGUUUUUGUCUCGAAAAGAAGAGAAAAUAUCCUAAUUGAUGAUUAUUAGAAUUCGGGUUUCAAGUUCAAGUCCGGGUCCAAACAAAAGGGAAUAUCUUUUUGCUCGAGCCCGCUACCUAACUUGAAACCCAAAUCUACGUUAUUGCCUAAGUCUUAUAAAUGAAUUCUUUUGGACUCAAGCCCAAUUGUUGGCCCAAUGCACCACAGGGGAUCGAUUCCCUGCAGCAAUAUCAUGUAGCAUCCCAAUGGCCUUAUUUACCCCGAUGCCAACUAAAGGGUUUUGUGUAAUUUUACCAUACUUCAUUCCUAGACCAUACAAAUCACCCUUUGUUUAUUUUUCUAAUUUUUCCUACCAAUGAACUCCCAAUCUUAUCAAAAUGGCGACUAAAUUGGAAAUAAGAACGUAGUUUUAGCAACAAGAACAAGAUUAAGCGCGUGAUUUUCUGCACCUUCUGCACGAACCAAAUUAAUGACCUCAAACCUUGAGUAUACUAACUAUUUGAAACUAAUUCUAUUAAUGUUAUUGUACCAAUUCUCAGUUAGUUUCUGAUUUAAAUAAAAUUGAACUAUUGAAAUUAUCACUGAAACAUGUAUGAGUUUUUAAUCACUGAAAAUUGAAACUACAGCACACUAUACCAUGUUAUACUAGUAUGCCAACUACUAAACCUGUUUCAAUGUUCAAUGACUUUCUACUUCUAACAAUGUGCUGCCAUGGAUUAUUAUUAGAAGAACAGUUUUAGUAACCCACACAGUCUCUGAAUAAAAAAAUACUUAGAAAACAGUCCUGGUUUGAAUAUGACAACAACUAAUUCAAAACAUAACAAAAUGAUUAAAACGCAGCUUCUCAGCAAGUAUUUCGCAUCAAUUUCAUUUCAUACUCCCACAAGUAAAUAUACAUCGAAUUGAAUUUAGUUGUGUACCUGGGACAUAAACAACAAGAGAAGAAUGGUCAGUAGAAGUGACGAGCAAUAGUUGAAUCACAGCCACAAUGAAUUCAACCACCCAGUGAAGUCUCCAAAUCAAACAAGAGAAAAAAUUUAACCACAGUCAAUUCACAUAGGCUCAAAUGAGUUUGAGAAAGGAUCCAGUUAUACUCUAUGACCCUGAGCAAUCAGAAGCAAACACCUAAAUUUGACUAAAACCUCAAAUUUGACUCGAAAAUCAACCAAACUCAUUCGAAGUUGAACUCCGUGAGCUUCUGAACCUUAAGAAAUUAGAUAUUGAGCCAGAAAUUACAAACCAAACACCCAUACUUGAAAUUAAACUGAAAUUUCCAGGGAACAAUAAUUUUUCUUUGUUUUUCCAAUUGCUUUUGGUUUUUCUACUUGAAGAAAGCUAAGACAUAAGGGAAUUUCAGAAAUUUCAGAUCUGGAAGUUUGGGGUGUAUUUUUAGGGGGAAUUUUAGGCUGCCAAACUUGUCUGUUAAGGCUCUAAUGAUG
rnacentral:lncRNA from 1 species